rnacentral:rRNA from 1 species
GACGAACGCUGGCGGCGUGCUUAACACAUGCAAGUCGAACGGUGAAGGGGUCUGCUUUUGUGGGCCCUGGAUGAGUGGCGAACGGGUGAGUAACACGUGAGUAACCUGCCCCCUUCUUCUGGAUAACCGCAUGAAAGUGUGGCUAAUGCGGGAUAUUCUGGGUCUGUCGCAUGAUGGGUCUGGGAAAGAUUGCGCCUUUGGGUGUUUUUGGUGGGGGAUGGGCUCGCGGCCUAUCAGCUUGUUGGUGGGGUGAUGGCCUACCAAGGCGGUGACGGGUAGCCGGCCUGAGAGGGUGGACGGUCACACUGGGACUGAGACACGGCCCAGACUCCUACGGGAGGCAGCAGUGGGGAAUAUUGCACAAUGGGCGCAAGCCUGAUGCAGCGACGCCGCGUGAGGGAUGGAGGCCUUCGGGUUGUAAACCUCUUUCGCCAGUGAAGCAGGCCUGCUCCUUGUGGGUGGGUUGACGGUAGCUGGAUAAGAAGCGCCGGCUAACUACGUG